CCUACGGGUGGCAGCAGUGAGGAAUAUUGGUCAAUGGACGAGAGCCUGAACCAGCCAAGUAGCGUGAGGGAUGAAUGCCCUAUGGGCUGUAAACUUCUUUUACAAAGGAAUAAAACGCGGCACGUGUGCCUUUCUGCAUGUACCUCAUGAAUAAGGCUCGGCUAAUUCCGUGCCAGCAGCCGCGGUAAUACGGAGGAACCGAGCGUUAUCCGUAUUUAUUGGGCUUAAAGGGAGCGUAGAUGGGAUGUAAAGUCAGUAGGGAAAGUUUGGGGCUCAACCGUGAAAGUGCAAUGGAAACUGGUAGUCUGGAGUGCAGGAGAGGUAGGCGGAAUUCGUGGUGUAGCGGUGAAAUGCGUAGAUAUCACGAGGAACCCCGAUUGCGAAGGCAGCUUACUAGACUGUGACUGACAUUGAUGCUCGAAAGUGUGGGUAUCAAACAGGAUUAGAUACCCGUGUAGUC
rnacentral:rRNA from 1 species